CGCACGGUGGCUUAGUGGUUAGCAUGUUUACCUCACACCUCCAGGGUCGGGGGUUCAAGUCCCUGUGUGUGUGG